AUGCUUAUCUGGCAGGUGAGACAGCAAGAUCACGAAGGUGGUUUUCCCAGGGCAAGGCUUAUCCAUUGCACUCUGGAUGUGCUGACCCCUGCGAUUUCCCCAAAUGUGAGAAACUCGACUGCGUAAUUUGUGGUAGUGGGGGACUGCAUUUGUGCUUUCCCCUA
rnacentral:snRNA from 1 species